GUUGCGGUGGCCGAGGGGUUAAGGCGUUCGACUGGAAAUCAAAUGGGAUCUUCCCGCGCAGGCUCGAAUCCUGCCCGCAACU
rfam:Nematostella vectensis strain CH2 x CH6 NEMVEscaffold_486_Cont28485, whole genome shotgun sequence.